GCACUGACAGGUGGAUAAUAGAAAUGUUCUGGACAGUCAGAGAACUACUGGAGAUGACAUAUGAGAAGAAAAUCACUGCUGGAGUACAUUUGAGGAGGGUCUAGCUUUAGUUGUCUGUGUAACAGCUGAGAUGAAAGAUCUUUUACAUGUGCUCCCUUUUAUGCAUCACUGAAUCCAGAGCUGGGCAGGGAGAGGCAAGGAGAAGAAGAGGCAGUUCUGGAGGACUGAGGCAGUUGAUCCAGUACUGGAAAAGUGUUCCCAAGGAGCAAAAUCUGACAGUGUGGCUGUUUCCUGCUCCUGGAAAAGCUCCCUGUGUGUCCAACACAGAGCCACAUGCAGUCAUCACCUGGCCAUGGAUCACCAAGGUCAUAAAGCUCAAGUGGAGAAACGCUUUUUCAGGUGAUUGCUCACUUUUUGCCGCUAAUUUUCAAUAUUAAGAAUCAUCUUGGCUGUGGUUAAUAAUGUUGAGUGAUGUGCUGUUCCAUCCAAUGGGAUAAGAUGCAAGAGAUUCAAUGACCUGGAGUGAGCUGAAAAAAUGAAGGGAAAGAGCUGAAACAACCAGAACUUUAUAAAUUCACCUUAUGAUAAUGAAUACCUGCUCCCUUCCUUCUCAGAGGAAUCAAUUCCAUUUUUCCAUCCUAAGAGACAAAGAAAAUGCCAGUCCAAUAGACUGUUAGUGUGGGUUGGCUGAAACUGCAAAGAAAGAAGAAUUGUCCAAGUGUCCAUGUGAGAGCAAGAGCAGCUCCCAUUCUGCAUCUCAAUGGCAGUAGAAAAUGCCCAGCAAUUCUGCAGCAGAUUAGGGGUCACAUCCCUCAUUACUGUGGGCUAUGCAGAAGGCAGAGUCCAUAACUACAGAUACCACAGUCCUGUCUGCCUCUCAAAAUACUCCUUUCAUUGCCUUUUUCUUCCUUUAUUUUUAAUAGCAAUGGAAUAUGCUGAACUGCAAAUGCUGGUGCUUGCUGUAUUUUUCCUCAUCCCUGGAGUUAUAUAUUCAUUUCCAUCCUGUAAAAAUAACCUGUUUAUUCCAUUUCUAAGUCCUGCAUGAGAUGGUUCUCAUUUUCCCCGUUCCCUGUGGUUUUAUCACAACUGCCUGCCCACCUGUGUGCUUUGUCUCAGCUACAGAGUUUUCCUUCUCCAGAAAGCUGCCAAGCAGUUCUCUCCAGCAGCAGAGAAAUGAUGGUCAGUGCACAAGUCUCUUUGUGUUGGAUUAAUUGCAAGCCUCCCUGCUAAUUUCAGGGAAAGCAGCAGUGUGUCCUAACUUAUCCUGGGUGAUUUGGGAGCUCCUUUAUUUCUCUGCUUGUCUCCAGUCAGUCGAAAUAGAUGAUUGUAUGCUCUGUGCUCCCACCUCCACACACCUCCUGCAUCUCACCCAGCCUGGUCCCUGCAGGCUGUGCCAGCCCAGCCCAUCUGCUGAGGGGGCUGCAGGGACCAGCAGAGUCUCAGCAGCAGCCAGGCUGCUCACCAGUGCCAGGGGAUGGGCAAACAGUGCUGCUCUACCACAGCAGACUGAGCAUGGAUGGCCAGAGAAAUCCACUUUCCACUCAAAAAUGUUCUGAAGCCCAGGGAUAUGCCAUUAAAGGGUGGUGGGAUUCUUUAUAGGGUGGCCAGGCAUGUCUCAGCCUCAUGGUGGCCAUAAGUCCUGGAGCUGGAGGUUGGGCUGGCUGUGCCCACUUGGCAAGCUACCUGCUCUUCCAUAGCUCUACAAUUCUUUGGUUUCCAAAAAGAAAUGUAAUUUUAUUACCAGCUGCCUUAUCGUUGCUUUAUUAUUUUCCAUUCAGAGCCUGCAAAAUUGAACUACUGAGCAUCCCCUAAAUCUGCCACUCCUCACACAGCUCUGGUCUCUUCUGAACUCAACCAGAACCAUCAGCUCUCAGGCAGGCAUGUGCAGAUGGAUCCCUGGAGCAUCUGUAGGACACAUUUAUGAGUAAUUACCUAUCAUCUAGAAGGCUACAGAGCAGCAGUUUAAGUGUGACCUGCCUUCUGCAUUGAUAUCCAAGUCAAGACUAAGAAACAUCUCUAGCAGAUGGGAAAGCUCUCCAGCCUCUCAAAGCUUCUCCAAGAUGGAUUAUUUACUAUCUAGCACCUCUCAGAGCAAUGAGAGCUUAUCCAACACAGUUUCUCCUAGACCUUCUUAUUCUGCCUUCUUUAUUCCAUAAGGAUCCCAACCAAGGUUCAUCAAAACCCUGAAUGAGACACUGUCCAACAGAAGGGAUUUUUUUUUUUUUGACCUAUUUUGUGACCUAAUUUUUAUUUGUAUGCUGCUAGGAAGUUGCAUGCCUGGUUUUGACACGCUGUGUGUGCCACAUGCAGAAAUGUUUCCUGAGCAGUUUAUGCCAGAAUCAGUCAGUCCCUGGGCUAACUCUGUGUUCACUCUGAUUAUUUGCUGCUCUCAGAGCAGCACUGUCCCACACAAAGCAGAAAAGUGCCACAGUCUCUCUCUGACCGGCAGGAUAAUGUUGGAAGGUGACAGCCUUAGCACCUGUUGGGAUCCUCUCCAUGAGCCUCACCAGGAGCUUCACACACAUCUCAACAAAUUUACUCUUCUAUCUCUAAUAUCCUUUUUUAUUCCACUCUGGCAGAGAGUGAAAAUACAAACUUAGCUUCAUCUGGCUUUGCUGGUUUUGCAGAUUUAAUCUGGAUGCUGAUCUGAAAUGUCCUUUAGUGUGGAAAACACAGCUGCUGUGAGCAGAGGAACUUAUGUAAUCAGCUGAGAGAGUUUGUGGUGUUCCAAAGGGUUCCUCUAGACAGAAAAGGUGUUUGUGGCUCCUGGGGCUGGACAUGCACAUUGCUCAUUGCCCCUGCCUUCACUCUCAGCUGGCCUCAAUCCACACCUACACUUUGUUGUCAGCUUCUCCCAGCUGCAAAGAAAGCAUCCAGAUGGGAAAUCACUUGUUUGGCUCUCUGUGAACAAAACCAAAUCCUUUUGGGGAUUUUCCAUCCAGCCAUCUAAAAGCUUGGCACAAAUUUGGAAGUACAGAGGAAUUUCUUGAAUUGCAACUUUCUAACAACCUUUUCCAAAACUCAGAGGCUGAGUUUGGCUUGAGCUUUAGAAAAUAUCCAGGCAAAAACUUGUUAGGUGCAAACUGUUUCCCUUUCCUUUAAACUAACAUGAAAAAAAGAAGGAAAAGCUGAGUUUCAGUUCUACAAACAGUUCAGUGCUGGCUUGGUGGCUCCACUCCAAGACCUCUGUUGUCUCUUCCCUAUCUACCUGGAGUGCCUUGAGACCACACAUUCAGAGAUUUUGGGGAAAAUUAGGAAGAACAAGUGCUAUGGAAAUCUUGUCUCAUUAUUUUGGUUUGUUUUUUUUUUUUUUUCUUUUAAUUAAUCAAACAGUUAAAACAAACCAUGCAGGCAUUUGCAACAUCAAUGUUAAACACAUUUUAGGGAUGGUGGUAUUCAUGUGAAGCAAAACUUAGAGGAAAUGCAUGAAGUCUCUCCAACUGUAACUCCUAUUUUUUCCCUCAUACCAUGAAGUCAUUGAUUCUUUAGAACUUCCCAAAUGUGUCCAGAGUAAAAGCAGUGCCUUGCAGUGGGUUUGACACUAUUUUUGGCAUGGUCAAAGUGAAAGCUCCCAUUGUCAGCAGCAAAACCCUGGAGGGAAUGUGCCA